GAUUGAAAUGACAUUUUUCUCUCAUAUUUUCUCUCUCCUCAUCUCCCUCCUUAACGAUUUGCUUGAAAUACACUUGAAAAAACGCAAAUUAGGUCGUAAUUUCGCGAAGAUCGCAGAGAUUUUGAGUUACAAAUUCAGUCGAUUUUUUGCAAAAUCGAAUUAUCCGCGCUGAAUUCUUCAUGGAUCUGAGAAGCUGAUCUAGGAUGCAGAUUUAAAUCCUGAGAAUGAUGAUUUGGGUAAGGAUGAUGACGGGUUUAAAGAUGGCAAGGAUUCGUCGAAGCAUAUUCUUUGCCAGAUCGUAUAGUUAAAUGUCAAGUUCAGAGCCUUAGAAGCCAUCUUCAUAUGGUGAUGUUAACAAAUGGUGUGAAGCUCUCGUCCUCAUGAAAUCUAAUCUGAAUCUUCUGGUGCAGACGUUUCAAUACAUCAGCUACAAAUAUUAAAGAGUCAGCUGAAAAUGAGGUGAUUUCUAGUUGAGUGCUCGUUAUUGCAAAGUGGCCCCUACGCUUAGGUAUUCAAGAAUAAUAUAGCAGGCUGGUAGAUCAAGUACGAUCGAAAUCAUGUGGCUUGGGAUGAUUGAGAGAGUUGCAUGCUUUCGUUCUUUGAAACUAUUUUAUCUAUACUUUAAUUAUGUUUGAAAUUGUUGAACUUUUUAUACUUUGGUUUUUGGGCCGUCAUGGUUCCAAAUUGUAGGAGGCCUCGAUAUUUAUUAAUUAUGUUUUCAAAAGUUAGUUGACAUUAAAUUCCGCUGCGUAAUUCUGGUAAUAGCCUUAACCGUUAUCACGGUGGCGGUAAUGCUUUAGUAAUUCCUUUAUUUUAAGUUGGAAAAUGGUUUUAUAAAAGCAAGGAAUUAUUAGGGUGUUACAGUA